AUUGAACGCUGGCGGCAGGCCUAACACAUGCAAGUCGAACGAGUGGCGGACGAGUGAGUAAUGUCUGGGAAACUGCCUGAUGGAGGGGGAUAACUACUGGAAAAGGUAGCUAAUACCGCAUACCAUCAUAUGUGCCCAGCUGGGAUUAGCUAGUUGGUGGGGUAACGGCUCACCAAGGCGACGCUCCCUAGCUGGUCUGAGAGGAUGACCGGCAACACUGGAACUGAGACACGGGCCAGAAGCCUACGGGAGGCAGCAGGGGGGAAUAUUGCACAAUGGGCGCAAGCCUGAUGCAGCAAGGCCGCGUGUAUGAAGAAGGCCUUAGGGUUGUAAAGUACUUUCAGCGGGGAGGCGUUACCCGCAGAAGAAGCACCGGCUAACUCCGUGCCAGCAGCCGCGGUAAUUC
rnacentral:rRNA from 1 species